ACCUAGUGGGAUUGCAUUUGCAUUUAUGG
rnacentral:piRNA from 1 species